AGCUCAAAGAGUCAAUACCCUACCACCGGGGUUCAAUCCUAUGACCUUCCCUCAAGAGGAGCCACAAAGGGACAACCCACUGAGUA